rnacentral:tRNA from 1 species
GGUGGCCUUAGGGCCAAGCUCCAUGUCCUUGACCGUGCGGGAGGCGAUCUUGGAUACUUCCGAUGUGAAAUCGCUGAUCUGCUCGGAGCGGUGAGCCUGGGUGUCGCGGGUUCGAGCCCCGUCAGCCACCCCCA